GGACUUCCCAGUUCCUCAAAUUCAGGGUGACAGUUUUUCUUCCUGCUCUGUAUUGGUCUAUCCUUCCAAUGUAAAUUCCUACUGACACAAGACCUGCUCUGUACCUGCAUAAUCUUCCGUGGCUACCCUCGGACCUAAAAUAGGAAUGGGAAAACUGCGCCACACAGGUGGCAACUGGGUGUGCACCUCUGGGUGCACGUACUCCGUUCUCCAGCUUCUAUUGCAGAUCACUGCACAGCCACCCCUGCUCCUGGCAGACCUCUACAUAAACUAGAAUCGCAGCACGUAUCUGGUACCCAACAAAGACCGGACGAACGUAAUAGAUGUACCUGGGGUGCCUUAGCCAGGGCUCUAACCUGCCCAGAUCUACGCUAAAAUUAUAUACGCCAGCGCCCAGCAGCUAAGGGUGUCUAUUUGCGGCUUAAAAGUUUAGGGAACGUAUGCUACGAGGAUGUGAGGAUGUGCCAAAGCUCAUGAAAAAAGCCUGCGACCGGAGCCAAGAGGCCAGAGCGCCACAGCCUGGCGGUAACUUGCUGUUAGUCUCCGAGCCCGCGACGAUGAAGGUCGGCGGGAAGGGGUCCAAAGGGAUGAAGGACAGGGGGCACUUCCUGCAGACGGAGCUGGGCACCGAGGGGGCACUUCCUGUAGUUGGAGCUGGAGACUCACUGGCAACUUCCGGCAAGCGUUGUGCUCCUUAGAAGCCUGGUGACAAUCUCUGGUGCACCGGUGGAGUCAGGUCGUGGUUUUCCUGACCCGCACCUCUCCUGGUAGUUUCGAAGAAACCAAACACGCGCACAUUUCCGUAGAUCAUUUCAACAAAAAAACCUGUAGGAUGUACCUGAGGGAGCGCUUUUGCUUGACAUACUUACUGGGUUCGGUCCCCAGCACCACGAAAGAAAAAUUUUCCUAUACUGUCUUCCAUAAAGACAAAGCUGAGUUGGCCUUUACAGGGUCUCGUGCCUUUACAGGGACAGUCAGGUGGGUAAAUACCCAAUAAAGCCUUAAGGUGAGUAUACAGAUUUUAUAUGCGUGCAAAAUCCCAGGUAGCUUGAAUUCAAAAGUUAACCAUAUUUACUUCCUGUGUAUUCGACUGGGAGAUCAUAUGACAACUUAGAGCUCUCUUGCUAUGUGGGUCUCAAGGAUUGAACUCAGGUGUGGUGGCAAGCGCUCACUGGCGGAUACACCUCCACAACCUUCCUAGAGAUGUCUUAUAAAUUCUCAGGACAUUCGGGAACGUUUUGUUCAUUGAGAAUAAUAGCUUUUGAAGCACUGGAAAUCAAAAUUUUCUCUGGACCACUGUGUACAGAAGCCUGAGAAGGCUAGCAGAUCCCCAGAACUGGAACUGUGAGACGCUGUGCUAUGGAGGUGCUAGGAACUGAAAAUGGAUGGGUCCUCUGCAAGAGCAUAGAACCUCAUCAAGCCAGUUUGCUUUUAUGGUGAUGUCUCUGAUGCUGAAAGAGACCAGACUUCUGCCUGAAGGCUUCAUUGCAUUCACUGCACUUGUAGGGUUUUUCUUCAUUGUGGAUUCUAACAUGCUGAUCUAAGUGUGAAUUUAGGCGGAAAGCUUUCUGACACACGUUACAUUUGAAAGGUUUUUCUCCAGUGUGAAUCCUAUGAUGUCGAAUAAGGUCGGAGGUCAAGCUGAAGGCUUUCCCACACUCAUUACAGUGAUGUCUUUUGGAACGACCAUGGACUCUCUGAUGGUGGGUGAGGAGGAGGGCCCGACUAAAGGUUUUCCCACACUCCUUGCAUUCUCGGGGCUCAUCCUGACUGUGAAUUUUUUGGUGUCGAUUAAGAUGAGAGCUUCGCCUGAAGUUCUUUCCACAAUGGAUACACAGAUAGGGUUUUUCUCCAGUAUGGAUCCUGAGAUGCUCCAAAAGACCUGCAUUCUGGCUAAAGACUUUUCCACACUCUUUGCACUGGUAAGGCUUCUCCCCAAGAUGGAUUUUCUGAUGUCUGAUGAGGUGUGAACUUCUCUGAAAGACUUUCCCACACUCUUGGCAGGGAUGACCUUUGUCUUUAGAGAUUUCCUGAUGGUCAGCAGCAACAGAACUCUGAGAUCCUACAGAUUCCCAGGACAUUUCUCCUGUAUGUGCCCUGUCAUGUUCAAUCAGGCCUGAGUUCUGAACAAGUCUCUCCUUAGUUUCCAAGCAUUGGCUGUUAGUUUUUUCCUUGGGCAUGGCUGGAUUCUUUUUCAAGCUCAGGUCCUCACACUGGGCCUCAAUGGGUUCAGUCAUGGUACAAGAUGAUUCCAUUCUUCCACAAGAGUCUGUCCCUGCAAUGAGCUUCCCAUUCUCACUCCUUGUCUCUUUACCUGAAAUAGUAAAUAUAUAUAUAUAUAUAUCACUAAUUAUUUUAUUUUUGGUGUUCAGGGAAAGGAAUCUGCAAAUAGCAGGAAAUACUUAAAUAAAGCCAAGUGUAUAAAUG
ensembl:processed_transcript